rnacentral:rRNA from 1 species
UACGAAGGGGGCUAGCGUUGUUCGGAAUUACUGGGCGUAAAGCGUGCGCAGGCGGCUUCUCAAGUCAGGGGUGAAAGCCCAGAGCUUAACUCUGGAAUUGCCUUUGAGACUGAGAGGCUUGAGUACGGGAGAGGUGAGUGGAAUUCCCAGUGUAGAGGUGAAAUUCGUAGAUAUUGGGAAGAACACCGAUGACGAAGGCGGCGAUCUGGACGAUGACUGACGCUGAGACGCGAAAGCGUGGGGAGCAAACAGG